rnacentral:tRNA from 1 species
UGGGGCGUCGCCAAGCGGUAAGGCAGGGGCCUUUGAAGCCUCCAUUCCUAGGUUCGAAUCCUAGCGCCCCAG